GUUACUUACUUGUUUCCACUGUAGUGGUGUACAGAGCAGCGAGAAAGCAUCGCAUAGUAUUCCAACUCGGAUUUACGUAGAGGAGGGGCAUUUGCGGCAAUGAGGAUCAAUUUAGCUUUACCAGAACGAAGGGUUUUUAAAGUCGAUUUGUAUCCCAAAACGUAUUUCCCACUUUUCAUAGUCAACGCCAACUUGGAAUUAAUAGUAUCUCCCGACUUCUUUCCCUUUUUGGAAACAGCGGCAACGGGUGCAGUG